GAUAAGAGCAGUCAUCGAUAUCACCAGACGACCGGGCCAAGUGAACACACGAAGAGGAGCCGUGCUGCAAGAGCCGCUCGAGCGGAUUUACUGACCUAAUGUGGGGAGAACCUUUAGGUGUCAACCUCCUCGAUCUCUUGGCCUUCUGCUGCUGCGUUAUGUUCUAACCAGGCUCUGGUUGGUAGCGGUUUCUAAGUUGUUGUGUCACCAGCUGAUUUUGAGGCAUUCCGAGUGGUUAACCAGAGGUUAGACUCACAUCUUCUGUGACGGGGCCGUUGGGCCAAAGUACUUGGAAGGAGAAGCCGGAGGAAGUCUUUACCAAGCUAGGCAUUCGAAAAGGAAUAAAAGAGAAGUGGAAUCUGACCUGAACCUGAAAGCGUGGCCUCUGAGUGGAUGCUUUGAAUCCAGGCAGUUCUCCCCCAAGAGUAACAUAACACAGCGCAGUCUAGCAGUAACCAAGGCCAGGAGAACAACCACAGAUCACUAAAAUUCCUAACAUGGCACAGUUCAAUAGAUCUUUAUCGAUAGGCUAAAAGCGUCACUGAAGAACUAGUCGUGGCAACUUUCUGUUGAGCGGUUGGACACUUCAUCAAUGAGAUCAGCACAAAUUUUCCUCCCACGUAGACAGCUGUCGGAGUACGUUGGAACACGUCGCGUUUGUCGUCCGCUGCCUCGGGCACCGUGAGGAGAUCCUGAGCUAGAACACGAACAGGCCUGCGUUCUCGAAAACAUCCGUGCCACUACGAACCCCUGCCUGGAGAUGCUGGCCCAGGAGGAUCAGGAUUCUUGAAAACCUAGAUAUCAUCAUCAGCGAUUCCAGAUCCAGCUCUGAACUAGGGAUCUGGCUCCAUGCCUUUUGUCCUGCACUACAGAGACCAGAGAUUUUGGCCUGGAUUAGCAAACAGAGGCAGAAAGCUAACUUCACCCCUACGCCGCCGACCCCUUCUAGGCAAGCAGCUUCCUGCCGAAGUUCCAAGGAGAGGAGGCGUCCGUCUGGAGUACCCCGGCUUGCCGAUCCCCGCUUUCACAGUGGAGGGGGAAAAAAAACACAGUCCAAUAGAAGAGCUUGAGGGAAAGUGGGAAAGGCAGAGGAUAGUACUGGUGAUGUAACUUGUUACCUGCAGAUGGCAGACUGGCUAUAGGCUGGACCCUCCGUAGCACUCAAGGCCUGGCCUACUUGAGUUUGGGUCAAACCGAGAGACAGGCGGCGGAUUUUAAAAGCUUUGGCAAAUUCCCGGAUUUCCUCAAGAUUCACCCCGUCCACCUCGCUGGCGGCUGUCUGAGGAUCUGUGGAGACGUUGGCGGAGAGAGGGUCAAAACUUCACACUGCAGAGACACACCUUGUUAGCUGAGUUUUACCCCAGAGCAGAUUUCAGGUGAGGAGGCGAGAGGAGAAUGGUCUCAUUUUUGAAAAUCCAAAUUCAGUCCCACCUAGGAGUCUCCAUUUUUUCCUAAGUGAGGCACCAACCUGCACCCUAAGCUAUUUACCACUUCCCGCUGAGAUUUUUCUCCCCAAAUUCAAGACCACCACCCGACCUAUGGUUUCUCUCUUGCAGGAAGGAGAGAUCUCGGGGCUUAAUAAACUUGACAAAUGAAAAAACAAAAAGCACCCAAACUCCAGGUCAGGUGUUACCGAUAAAGGAAGGAGAGGGAAUCAGACUGGAGUCUCGAUUUUUCAUUCUACCUCUGUUCCUUCGACCUACCCGUCCCACUUUCAAGGUUUCCGAAUCGGAGCGCCAUCAGGCUACGAUACCCAUGCAGCACAAUCCUUAGGUUUUCAUUACACUCUCAGAUGAUAAUACCCACGAAGAGGUGUGAAUACAUUUAUCCCUUUUUUUCGAAGCAGAGUUUACUGACUCCGAACGCCUUUGUCCCUGGAAGGGCACGAAAAUGAAAGAACGCCCCCGACCACAGGAACACUUCUUUGGUUCUGGAUAAACUCGGUCAAUUUAGGACUUAUCAAGGGAAAUGACAAAUCAGCUGGAGAAUGAAACUCCUCCUCUCUCCUCCCCCCACCCCCCAACCAACCCUUGCCCCCAGGCUACUGAUCUCGGGAUAAAUAAAAGCCUGCUCCAAAGUGGAGACAGCGUGGGCCUGGGAGGACGGAUGAUUUCAAAGAGACUGUUCAACCCUGCACAGAGCGAAGGCAUUCUCCCAGCAAGAGAUUUCUAUUCUUCCUCCCCCUUGCUCCUAAGACGACUUCAAUUUCGGUCAAUGCAGGCAGGGGUCUGAGGAUCAGGGCCGGUGACACUACUCUGCUCGUUGCAGCAGUAGAAAGGACCCCACUGCUGGCUGCUGCAAUUUGCAUUCUCAACCUCUCCAGCCGGAGAAACUCUCAAAUCGGGAGGUAAACUUUCCUUUAGGAUUGAAUCACCAUGUACACAUUCUCCCACAUUAGGAGAGGGAUUUUUUGUUGAAGGCUAUUGGCCUGUUCUCCCUACGGCUGCUUUGCUCAGGCUUCCGAUGACACGGGGUUUUCCGUUCCUGAAGGUCUAAAAUCAACCUGAGCAUUUAAAUGAACUCUUUGUGGAACUGGGCUGAAGUCAGAACUGGUGUUUGGGAGGAGCUUAAACACUGGCAAACAUGUAGAACAGAGAUUCAAGCUUUCAAAGAGUUA